UACCUCUGACAUGCAGAGAAGUUGCCUCUUCCCAGAGACAGGCACGUCUCUUCCUAAGAAUGGCUGGGAGACUAGAAUGGCAGCUGUCUCAGAGAAAAUGCAAGUCACUGGGGGCAGGAAAAAGAGGAGACACAGGACAGCCGGCUCCCUCCGCUGCCUUUUCACCUUUUCUCUACUUCCUAAACCACCCCCUUGGCUGCCUUGUUGGCAGAUGUGAACUGGAAAAGCCUGCUUGGGGUGCCAUGUGAAGAUCAGCCCCACUGCAUCGGUGAGUCAGUCACAGGCUGUGCAGGGAACUCACUCACGGAGCUGGGUGGCCUGAGGAUGGGCUGUCCUGGCUAGAGAGCCUUGGCACAACCAUGCUCUCCAAUGGAGGACAAAAGAGAGAAAUACCAGGCUUGCGGCUGCUUUGAGUGGUCCCACAGUUGAAAUGCCAGGGAAUAUGAUUGGUGCAAUGAACCAUGUGGAUCGCCUACAGAGUUCCUCUGCGUGGAGGUCCAGUGUGGCUUUAUUUCACAAUCCCAAAAGCAUGAUGAUGUUCCUUUCUGAAAUCUGCUUUGGGGGCUCAGAAUUUUAACCUAAGACCACUUGGGUAUCUUCUGCAUAUUGAAUAAAGGUGUCCAUAUUACUGUUGCCUUAGAGGUUUAGAAGAAUCUUCAUUUCCAAGUGUUCGUCACCUUAAAGAUCUCUAUUCUUCCUCCAGUCUUUCUCAAAAUAGCCACCACUUUGUUUGAGGUCAGCAUCAUUUCUCACUUGC
rnacentral:lncRNA from 10 species